UACGUAGGGUGCAAGCGUUGUCCGGAAUUAUUGGGCGUAAAGAGCUCGUAGGCGGUUUGUUGCGUCGGCUGUGAAAUCCCGAGGCUCAACCUCGGGUCUGCAGUCGAUACGAGCAAACUAGAGUGUUGCAGGGGAGACUGGAAUUCCUGGUGUAGCGGUGAAAUGCGCAGAUAUCAGGAGGAACACCGGUGGCGAAGGCGCACACCUGGCCCGAUACUGACGCUGAGGCGCGAAAGCUAGGGGAGCAAACGGG
rnacentral:rRNA from 1 species